CUUCACCGAACCCAACAACAACGGCCGCCCGGGCUCACGAUCCCGCCCAUACGUAGCGAUCAGCGCCUGCGCCUC
rnacentral:antisense_RNA from 1 species